CCCCUCCAGGCCCCGCCCCCCGGACUUCCGAACUCGCGACGCCCGCCCCUCAGCACGCCCGGGGGCCGCGCGGGGUCACGUGGCGGAAGUGCGGCCUCCCGCCCGCCGCGGCCGCUCGCUCCCAAACCGGAAGUUUAUGUGGUUGCCUGGGAGACCGGACGGGGCGCCCCGGGCGGCCCCGUGACACGCGCGGCGGAGCCCACGGAGGCCGGGCGAGCGGGCGCCCCGCGGCGGAGGGAGCGGCAGCUGCAGCCCGAGGCGCGGGGACGGUGAGGCUCCCGGACUACAGACCCUUCCAGCCCAGCCAGCUCUCCAGCCCCCUGCACUGGGUCAUGAAGCCCUUCCCAGUUUACCUCCAAGCACAGAUGCUGUGCCGUAGGAGAACCUGCUUUAGACGUCAGGGUCACGGAAGGCCGCUUUGA
rnacentral:lncRNA from 12 species